GGGGAUAUAGCUCAGCUGGGAGAGCAGCAGACUGAAGUUUCCGAAAUGUUUCCAUUGGUUCUGAAGGUCCCGCGUUCGAUCCGCGGUAUCCCCA